rnacentral:lncRNA from 10 species
GGCCUCAGGUGAUCUGCCUGCCUCGGGCUCCCAGAGUGCUGGGAUUACAGGCGUGAGCCAUUGGCCCCAGCCUACUUGAUUCCUUUUUAUAAUCUCCAGUUUUUUUGUUUUUGUUUUUGUUUUCAACAUUCUUGUGUUUAUCUUUUAAAAGACAGUCUCCCUGUGUUGUCCAGGCUGCAGUGCAGUUGGCUAUUCACAGGUGGGAUCAUAGUAUACUAUAGUCUUGAACUCCUGGGCUCAAACAAGCCUCCUGUCUCAGCCUCCUGAGUAGCUGGGACUACAGGCAUGAACCCCUAUGCCCAGCUUCUUAUGCUUAUUUUAAAAUUCUAGGGGGUUGCCUUGUGUCUGCACAGCUUAGGGGGCAGCCACUUUCUGGAGAGUUUGUGCUGACACCUCAACCAGUCAGACUUCUGUCCUCUGCUGAUGGAUCUUUGUGUAGGUAGGUGAGUAAUUUUAAUAUUCAGGCUGCUUUCAAGUCUAUCUUAAGUUUUACUUUUUGUUGAGCCCUUCAUCUCUGUUGCACAUGUACCCAGCCUCCGAUCAGCCAAAAAUCUGCUUGCAGCCACGACUGCAACCUCAGGCCAGUAGAGCCAUAAGCCCUCCCUGCCUGCACAGCACUGGGAUUGUUACUUCCAUUGAUGAUGGUUUGGGUAUGGCUGCCACUCACACCUCCAAAUGGAGUAAACCCUCUUUCAACCACAGCUGCUUGCUUGUCCUCAUGUUCUGUUUUGCCUCAGCAGAACCUUCACAAUUACUGAGUUGGAGGAGUGAGGGGGAUACGAACAGCCCCAGGCAAGAACACUACAGACUCCCACUAUUCCUACUCAAAGCUCAGUAGUUUUUCAGACAACAUAUCUCAGACUGGAAGGUUUUAUGUCUGUUUCCAGAACACCAAAAUUGUUUUGAGCUGGGAGUAGUGGUGCGUGCUUAUAGUUGCAGGUACUUAGGAGGCUGAGGCUGGAGGGGGGAUUGCUUGAGGGCAGGAAUUCAAGACCAACCUGGGCAACAUAGUAAGACCCCCCAUCUCUAUAAACAACAAAAAAAAUGUUUCGUCCAAUUUUUUCAGCAUUUUAAUUGCUCGAACUAUAAUAAGGAGAGGAUUUGCUGACGUCCUUGCCUGACUGUAGCUGGAAGUGCUGCCCAAAGCACGAGACUUUAAUGAUGAUCUGCGUAACUGAGUUAAGCAGGAAAUGCCUUGAUUGGGAAAGGAUUGCACUCCUGUCCAAACAGCCUCUUGAAAACUGGUGAUCCAAUUGCUUAAAAUGGUUAAGAGUGAAAAUGGGAACUGGCCGGGGACCAGGACACAUGCUGAGCUUCCUUCCUGCCCUGUGCUGGUAGUCCUGCAUUUUUUUCCAUGUUCUACUUUUCGUAAACUCUCCAGUUCCACCUCCACAGCAUGACAUCUUAGUCUUCACAGCAGUGUUUGUGUAAUUAUUUUAAUAUGACAUCUCACCUUGU